UGGGGAAUAUUGCACAAUGGGCGCAAGCCUGAUGCAGCAACGCCGCGUGAGGGACGACGGCCUUCGGGUUGUAAACCUCUUUUAGUAGGGAAGAAGCGAAAGUGACGGUACCUGCAGAAAAAGCACCGGCUAACUACGUGCCAGCAGCCGCGGUAAUACGUAGGGUGCAAGCGUUGUCCGGAAUUAUUGGGCGUAAAGAGCUCGUAGGCGGUUUGUCACGUCUGCUGUGAAAACCCCGAGGCUCAACCUCGGGCCUGCAGUGGGUACGGGCAGACUAGAGUGCGGUAGGGGAGAUUGGAAUUCCUGGUGUAGCGGUGGAAUGCGCAGAUAUCAGGAGGAACACCGAUGGCGAAGGCAGAUCUCUGGGCCGUAACUGACGCUGAGGAGCGAAAGCAUGGGGAGCGAACAGGAUUAGAUACCCUCGUAGUCCCUGAGCGGGCUGGCAAGGCGCAU
rnacentral:rRNA from 1 species